AGGAGCGGGCGCGCGGUCGAUCGAGCGAUCGGUUGGCGGCUCUUUCUCCUGCUCUGGCAUCCAGCUCUUGGGGCGCAGGCCCGGCCGCCGCGGCGAGCGCCCGGUGGCCGUUGGCGCUCGCGCCGCGUCUUUCUUCUCGUACGCAGAACUCGGGCGGCGGCCUAUGCGUUUGCGAUUCGACGAGGAGUCGUCCGGGUGGUCGGCGGCGGUGGGCAGCUGCUCCGCCCCGCUCCCGGAGAGGCGGCGGCAGCGGCGGGAUUUGGCGCGGCCGGGGAGGCGGGGGGGACCGGGGCCGGGGCCGGGGCCGGGGCUGGCCUGGAGGCCUGGCGCCACCCAUCAGGGCCUGCAAGGACCCAGUUGGGGAGCCAGGAAGGGGCUGGAGGAUGGUUGGUGGUGGGCUUUCUGCUUUGCCUUUUCCUCCUUAUGCCGCCUUAGAGAGGGCCGGGAGCUCUGGCAGCAGCUCCGGGGUAGGGAUGUGAGCUCCCGGAGUCGGAAGAGCUGGGUUUGCUACUGGGCCUAGCCACCAGCUGGCCGACUGAACUUAGACAAGUCACUCUAAUUUGUCUGCGCCUCAGUUUCCUCCUCUGCUUGUGUUUGGGUUUGAACUCACUUUGUGAACUACAAAGUGCUGUAUUCCUAAAGAAUGAGUAUCGUUUGUAAUGUUUAUUGAGUUGCUAGAAAACUUACCGGUUGUCAAAUCUCUUGGAUUUGGAACCUGGGAGUUUUGGAUUAGAGUUGGAGAUCCCCAGACUCCCAGAAUUGUACGUAGAAAUUUGUGGGGACAUGCUUAUUAAGCAGCUGAUGAUCCAUUGUUAUCAAGUUUUUAAAAGGGACUGUGACCCAGAAGAGUUUGAUGACAGUUUUUAUAUAUCACAGAGAGGAAACUGAGGCCUAGAUGUCAUUUGGGACCCUUCACAAUCAAUUUGAAGCCCCCUUUUGAGUCCCUGGUAUAUGUGAGCUGUUUCCUAUGUAUAAUGGAUAUUUGGGAUAACAAUACUCCCCUGCUUGGCCUCUCUUUUGAACCCUUUCCUUUCACCAUGGGGUGCCUGAAGGGUGGCUGAUACAUAUGGUACAGUGGCACCCAAUGUAAAGCAGCUAGAAUUAAAAGUGGAUGUAGUCAGUAAAACGAAGAAGUGAAUUCAGUGUUUGGCCCAGGAAUUCUUGAUUUCUGCUGCUUAUGCUGGUGCCUGACUACCUUUUUGACUUUUAUCAUUUUCCAUGACUGUGGUUGUCAUCCUAUACUUGAUUCUAUUUUGUGUUCCCUCAUUUUGUGUGGUUGAUGGUGAACAGGCUUAUUUUUAAAUGAUGGUGCCAAGCUUAGCUAAUUAAUGGAGCAGGUGAAUUUUUAACAAGUGGGCUCAUUGAAACAGACUGAACCACACGUGGAAUUCCUAAAGAUGUUUCAUGGUUUUUCCUUACUGAUUCAAAGUUAAUAUUCUCCUCCAAAUUUUUGUUAGGACACCUGCUGAACCUCAAAAUCAGUAGGUUUGGAAAUGAUCCCAACCUUUUUGCCUGGCCUGCUUUGCAUUCUAAUUGCUUGCAACUGUGAUACUGAGAAGGCCAAAAUGCCAUUUUGUUUCGUUAUUGUCAGCUGCUCUUAAAAAAUUUGAGACCGUUGUCCAGCAAACACUAUAAAAAUGUUUGAACAGUUGGAUUUCAAACAUUUUCAUUUUGUGGAGUGGUGCUUACCAAGUGGUACAGCUCUAGGCAAGUGACUACAAACACAGUUAAGUGUAGUUUGUCUCGCUAGAUGUUAACCAGUUCUAUUUCCUUCAAAUAUCUGGGGGGAAAUUUGACUAUUCCCUUUACCUAAAGUGCAGAGACAAAUGAUUUCUCUUCCAGAGAAAUGACUGUUUUGGAGAAAAAUGUGUUCUUUAGCUCUUUUAUAAUUAAAUCUGGAUGUACCUCAAAAGACUUUUUAAGACUGGUGAUAAGAGGCUUUUCUCCAGAGAAAGGAAAAAAGCAACUGGAACUCAAAGCUUGAAAUUCUGUGACAAAACGUGAAAUGUCCAGGAUUGGAGGUUGAGAAGGUUUUGCUACAAUGUUCUGCAAUCAUUGAAGCAGUUACUUUUCAGUGUAACCACAGCCAUGGACUCCAGAUUUCCAAGAACUGGACCUGCAGCCUAGAAGAGCUUGUCAGGAUGUGGCAGGAACUGUGGAGGUUAAUUUUGUUUUUUUUAAAUACAUUUGGAACUGUUGAUCUUGCUGUAAGAAAAGAGGCAACAAUUGAGCAAGCAUUAACCACCAGUGCUGUUACUGAGAAUUGGAAGACCUGCGUUUCUGCCCAGACCCUCAAUAAGACAAAACUCCAUCGAAAGUGAAUUAUGUCCGGUGCCUCCUGAUUGCUGAGUGUUCAACUGGACCUUCUGACCACCUUGCUUCUGCUGGUCCAUCAGGCUACACAUCUGGUACUUGGAUUUUUGCUCAUGGUGAUUCCUACCAACUUACUACUGAAGAAGACACCAUUCCAGUGGACCACUGUGACCCAAGAGUCAUUCAGUAGUGAUGAUGUGGCCUUGACCUCCACGCCAGUUCUGUUCUGCCCAGAUUCAGCACAGCCCGUUAUAAUUGCAGAGUCCUCAAGCCAAAUAGCUAAAGCUAUUUUGUCACAACAAAGGCCCAGUUUAUUCCAUAAGUGUGCAUUUCAUUUCUUCAAAGUCUUCAGAGACAUAUAAAAAACUUGGACCAGGGGAUUUUUAUUUAUCAACGCUGUCCAAAGAAAGACAACAAACAUCUCUCUGAGAACAGCAUUGGACCAUACCCCACAAUCUCAAAUGAUUAGAGUUCAUGAACUAUCUAGGAUCCCAUGAAGAUCCCUGGACCAUGCUGUUUUUCUACUUAAAAUCUGUAGUAGCCUACUGAAUGAGACCUAUUGGGAUCAAAACCACGGCACAGUGAAUUCCUCAUAGCAUCUUCUUUGGGAUUACUCAGGAACCAGAACUUUUCACACAGAUGUAAGCAAUUCUGCCAAGAAAUUCCUUGCUUAACAGCAUCUCACAAGGCUCCAGUCAGAUUCCAGAAAAGGCCUCUCUUAACACAUCAAGAUAAAACCUAUAUGCAUUUUGUGAACAACUUACUCUUAGAUCAUUUGUUUUCCAAAGGCUUUGUGGCCAUGAAGCCAUUUGAAUGAAAACUAUGUGGAAGCCCAGAGUAAAAGUGAAGGUGCUCUGGAUGAAGUGAAGCAAGAGUGGGGGUCUGCAGCCUGCCACAAGCAUCUUCCUUUGCCACCAUGCUGACACCUAAAGGGACUUCUUUACAGCGUACAAAACUGCAGAACAAUUUGAGAACCACUGCCCUAUACAACAUGUUUGACCUGAAUGGCUUUCUGAUCUUUUCUGUAUCUCCAUUCAGUAUAGUCCAUAUUCAACUGAUACUGAAUAUUCUUAUAAAUAUUUACUGUGUGCAGACUUAGAACCAUUUGGCAUGUCUUUGGCCCCCAGAAUGUUCAUAUGGACUGAAAGUGGUGACAAGUGAACCUUUUAUUACUAGCCUAUAAUCCAGAUGAACUUACAGUGAAUCCUGGAAUUGGAUAUAGUCUGCAAUUUAUAUACACUCUACACUGACAAACCCUACUAAGCAUCAUUCACAAAUACGAAACACAUUAGCGGUACUUGAAGUAUAUGACUGAAGUCUUGAACUCUUCUUGGAUACGUGAAUUGCCUGCAAGCUGGAAACAUGCCUCACUGAGGCCAUCUUAUACCAACUUCAUUAGACCUCUCAUCAUUAGCCAUGGUACUCUACUUCAUGUUAAACAGUCAUUAACUACAGAAGCAGAAUUCAGAUACUGGCAACAUUUUCUAAGUACCUGAUUGUCAUUCUUCAUCUUAAACUACAAAUCACUGUGUGACUCAACCUAGUUACACUACAUUAUUCUCUUCCUUGGUUUUUAUUCAUUUGACUGUUCUGAGGAUCAAUGAGUUAACCUUUAAAAAUAAAAUCCCAAAACAAUUUCUUCACUGGCUUAUUUGCUGAUUCCCCAUAAUUACUGUCUACUCAUCUUUACUUAUGACAGCUGAUCUUCAAGACAUAAUUUUUGAGCAUCCUUUCUUGUGUGAUUUACAUAGUCAUUUGAAAAAAUUUUUCUAGCCAGUAAGAGACACUUUUAACAUGACUUAACACCUGGUACCAGCAUAUGGUAGGGAUAGUUGGACCCAGGCCCUUUGACCAGGAUAUCGUAACUUACUUUAUGAUGACUUAAAAUGGUAUAUUAUCUACAUUUUGCUGGAAAUGUAGAUUAACUUAAAAAAAAAACACUAAAGAUGGCAGCUAAAGAUUUUACCAGUAGACUGAAGAGCUUCUGUCUUUGUGGAUAUUUAAACGCAAUCACAUCUGUUUCAGUAUUGUCAUUUAUGUUGAUUCAGUGUGGUUGGCUUCAUUUCUUGCUGUGAGAUACUCUUAGACAUUAAGAAUUUGUUUCUGUAAGAAGAGUUUAAUUCCUGAGGUACAGGGAUAUGCCAACUUAUGUCCUAAGAAAAUUUCAUUCCUUCAAAGUUAAUUUAAGGGUCGGCCAUCUUCAGCUUUUAUUUUGAAUGUACUGGUUAAAUGUUGGAAAUGAUUUCUUCAUAUCCUUUCCCUUGUCCUCAGACUAAUCUGAUUGCAUAACUUGGUUUACAUACAAUCAAGGCUUAGAUCCAAUUGCUUUUGACUCAACCUCAGCAAAUUAAAAUCUAGAUUAUUUUGCUUGAAUACACAACUAUAAUUCAUAAAGAAGAAAUUAUCUACAAGCUCACAUUUCUGCUUCCUUGAAAUUGUCAGCUUUUUUUUUUCUUCUCUGCUUUUUCCUGUAUGUGCUUUGCAGAAAAAGACGAUCUACACUGCCAGUAAUUCCUUCUGAUCUUGUAUACUGAGUUGAGAUGAGGGUAAUCUGUGCAGGAGUCUUACAUGUACUGUGCGUAAAAACUUGGUGAUUGGGAAGAGCCUACAACUUAAACACAGGAAAUUGCCUGCAGUCUCCAUGCUUCAGAUUUUACCCUGGUCUUUCAUUGUGUCAUUUCAGCCAAUCUGAAGCCAUGACUUGAUUGUAGGAGUUCUCAGAGAUGUGCUAAAUUACAGAAGAUGAAGAAUUGAUAGCCAAAGAACGUAGGGCCAACGUCAACAAACCUGGCUCUGCCACCCUUUUAUUCUCAGAUGUAGGAUAGACUUCUGAACAGAACCUCAAGUCUGGACUAAGGAUAUGGCUUUCUCCUGAGAUGCUUGUUCUUGGGCAGAUGAGCAGAAAAAGCCCUAUAUCUGGCUUGUCCCUUGAAAUUAGAAAAUUACAUCUGGCAUAAGCCCUAUGAAAUAACUCGAAUACCCAGGGCAAAACUUAAUUUAUAGAUUCAUUCAUUAGUCUGCCGGUUCUUCCAGGUGAUAUCCUGGUUAUUGAUUUGACUGGCCCUGCUGGAGUUACUCUUGUCAGUUUACCUGUCUGAGCUGUUAACUGCCUCGUGUGACUUACUGCAAGCAACUGCUGACCUUGAGAAGACACCAGCCAGUUUCAGCUUAUCUCGUGCUGAAUUUCACCAUGGAUUUCUCAAUAGAAAUUAGCUUGUAUGUCACCUCACCAAGGACUUAUUGUCACAACAGAAAAUACCAGUUGCAUACACCUUGACCAACCAGUUCAUUCAUUUAUUUUUUUAAAUAGUUAAGAUUCUAUGUUUGCUCAUUUAUAGCACCUGGGACCUCUCCUACCACAUCUGGAAAGAGUGUAGCAGAUUGAAAGAGUCUACUCCUGCAGUAACACCAGUGGAUUCAUCAAUACAAACAAAUACUGUUUCAACUUUGCAAGACUUAAAGGGAUAUGAGAAGUUUUUCACUGAACUUAAGUUACCACUGACACAAAUAGCCUUGGAGAACUAUUUGCCAGUGGAAGGCUAGUUGACCUUUUUAUCACCAAGAUGGUGGGGCUGUGGAAUAAAACCUGAGUUUGCAUGCAUUGAAAUUCUAUAGUAUCAUCCAAAGUACCCUAUUGGACAUGAUUGUUCCACUCAUGAACUGUAGGCUUUCUGAAGACAAGACAAAUUUAUACUCAUGGCUAUUUUUAGAAUUCCAUUACUGAGGAGCCAGCUGUAACUAUAAUUACUUUUAUGAGCAGAAGUUAAGCUUUUUCAGUCUCUGGUUUGUUCUGGACAUACACUGUUUUUGAUUGUCCAGCAUCCAUCCCGUUUUAACUCCCUGAUGUACCCUGGAACCAUCACUUCUAUUUUCAGUUAAUGUGGUUUGGACCAUCUAACCCAAUCUUGGGUUUUGUGAGUAGGCAUAUAUCAUUCAGACCUCAUCAGUCAGCAAAGUCUUUCCUUAACCAUAUCAAUUUUUUCAGCAAUGUUCGUAUGAUUCAUGAGUUGGUCCAGUGGUAAUUCAGUCCUCUGGAUUUUACUGAGUUAUGGUGGAGAACAGAUUUUGUUUACUGAAAUGCUUUAGUUUCUAGGACUAAAAACUAAAAUUCAAACCAACAGGGUCUGCCACAUUGAAUGAGCCAGUCAGAAAAUGAAGCCAGUGCACAAGAAAGCAGAGCCAAAAGAUGGAGAGACUUGAGUCCUGAUGACAGCAUUUUUGCUCCUGGAUCCAGCUGUGCCUGAAGCUAGUAUAUCCCUUGGACUUUUCAGUUAUGUGAAACAAUAAAUACACUUUUUGCUUAAGCUAC